rnacentral:rRNA from 1 species
AUGCGGAAGCCACCAAGCUCGGAGUCGAAGGCCGCAAAGAGGAGGCGAUCUGGUCCCAUUGCUUCGCCGGCAUCUGCUACUGCCCGGACACGGGCACACAAGUGCACAGAGCCACCACGCUCCAGAGAAGUUGCUGUAGUGCCAACGCCUGUAGAAGCAGAUAAUCGUGAUUAUGAGUAUGAAGAGGAUGAGUCUGAUAUGGAUGAUGAAAUGUCUGAGGAAAGCUUACCUCCACAUGUGAUGAUUGAUUCUGGAAGUGAGGGCCAGCAAGAACAUGGGCCAGUUGAUGGUGUAUCCUCCGAGCCGAAGAAGAGCCGUAGAAGGAAAAAGGGUAUUGCAGUGUCCCCCAAGGUGAAAAAAAAGAGGGUGAGAGGAAAGCGUUCAAAAUGUUGGCAGCAUUUUACCAUGGUUCCAGUUGAAGGGGAAGAGAAAGAAAAGGCCAAGUGCAACUAUUGUGGAGAUUUAUUUAUUUACAAACAAGGGGGGACAGACUACUAG